GGCUUCGGCGACACACUUUGCCAACAAUACAAUUGGACCCACAUGGUCAAUGAAAAAGGUUGAAGAGUGCAUACAGCAAUGAGAUCUAGUGUUAGGAGCUGGAGUUGAACCAGCGCCCUUUGGACCACAGCAUUUCAGAAACUUCUUACAGUCCUCUGCUCUACCAACUGAGCUAUGAAGGUGCUUAUAUAUACAAACGCAGAAAACAUAGUGGCUUCGGCGACACACUUUGCCAACAUAACAAUCAAGCUACCUUGUCAAUGAAAAAGGUUGAACAGUGCAUAAAGCAAUGAAAUCUGGUGUUUGGAGCUGGAGUUGAACCAGCGACCUUUGGACCACAGUGUUUCAGGAACUUCUUACAGUCAUCUGCUCUCCCAACUGCGCUAUGAAGGUGCUUAUAGACACAAACGCAGAAAACAUAGUGGCUUCGGCGACACACUUUGCCAACAAUACAAUUGGACCCACAUGGUUAAUGAAAAACGUUGAACAGUGCAUACAGCAAUGAAAUGUGGUGUUUGGAGCUGGAGUUGAACCAGCGACCUUUGGACCACAGCGUUUCAGGAACUUCAUUUCAGUCCUCUGCUCUACCAACUGAGCUAUGAAUGUGCUUAUAUAUACAAACGCAGAAAACAUAGUGGCUUCGGCGACACACUUUGCCAACAAUACAAUUGGACCCACAUGGUCAAUGAAAAAGGUUGAACAGUGCAUACACCAAUGAAAACUGGUGCUUUGAGCGGGAGUUGAAGCAGCGACCUUUGGACCACAGAGUUUCAUACUAGGAACUUCUUACAGUCCUCUGCUCUACCAACUGAGCUAUGAAGGUGCUUAUAGACACAAACGCAGAAAACAUAGUGGCUUCGGCGACACACUUUGCCAACAAUACAAUUGGACCCACAUGGUCAAUGAAAAAGGUUGAACAGUGCAUACAGCAAUGAAAUGUGGUGUUUGGAGCUGGAGUUGAACCAGCGACCUUUGGACCACAGCGUUUCAGGAACUUCUUACAGUCCUCUGCUCUACCAACUGAGCUAUGAAGGUGCUUAUAGACACAAACGCAGAAAACAUAGUGGCUUCGGCGACACACUUUGCCAACAUAACAAUCAAGCUACCUUGUUAAUGAAAAAGGUUUAACAGUGCAUACAGCAAUGAAAUCUGGUGUUUGGAAGUGGAGUUGAACCAGCGACCUUUUGACCACAGCGUUUCAGGAACUUCUUACAGUCCUCUGCUCUAACAACUGAGCUAUGAAGGUGCUUAUAAACACAAACGCAGAAAACAUAGUGGAUUCGGCGACACACUUUGCCAACAAUACAAUUGGACCCACAUGGUCAAUGAAAAAGGUUGAAGAGUGCAUACAGCAAUGAAAUGUGGUGUUUGGAGCAGGAGUUGAACAAGCGACCUUUGGACCACAGCGUUUCAGGAACUUCUUACAGUCCUGUGCUCUACCAACUGAGCUAUGAAGGUGCUUAUAGACACAAACGCAGAAAACAUAGUGGCUUCGGCGACACACUUUGCCAACAAUACAAUUGGACCCACAUGGUCAAUGAAAAAGGUUGAACAGUGCAUACAGCAAUGAGAUCUAGUGUUAGGAGCUGGAGUUGAACCAGCGCCCUUUGGACCACAGCAUUUCAGGAACUUCUUACAGUCCUCUGCUCUACCAACUGAGCUAUGAAGGUGCUUAUAGACACAAACGCAGAAAACAUAGUGGCUUCGGCGACACACUUUGCCAACAUAACAAUCAAGCUACCUUGUCAAUGAAAAAGGUUGAACAGUGCAUAAAGCAAUGAAAUCUGGUGUUUGGAGCUGGAGUUGAACCAGCGACCUUUGGACCACAGCGUUUCAGGAACUUCUUACAGUCCUCUGCUCUACCAAGUGAGCUAUGAAGGUGCUUAUAUAUACAAACGCAGAAAACAUAGUGGCUUCGGCGACACACUUUGCCAACAAUACAAUUGGACCCACAUGGUCAAUGAAAAAGGUUGAACAGUGCAUACACCAAUGAAAACUGGUUCUUUGAGCGGGAGUUGAAGCAGCGACCUUUGGACCACAGAGUUUCAUACUAGGAACUUCUUACAGUCCUCUGCUCUACCAACUGAGCUAUGAAGGUGCUUAUAGACACAAACGCAGAAAACAUAGUGGCUUCGGCGACACACUUUGCCAACAAUACAAUUGGACCCACAUGGUCAAUGAAAAAGGUUGAACAGUGCAUACAGCAAUGAAAUGUGGUGUUUGGAGCUGGAGUUGAACCAGCGACCUUUGGACCACAGCGUUUCAGGAACUUCUUACAGUCCUCUGCUCUACCAACUGAGCUAUGAAGGUGCUUAUAGACACAAACGCAGAAAACAUAGUGGCUUCGGCGACACACUUUGCCAACAUAACAAUCAAGCUACCUUGUCAAUGAAAAAGGUUGAACAGUGCAUACACCAAUGAAAUCUGGUGUUUGGAGCUGGAGUUGAACCAGCGACCUUUGGACAACAUUGUUGAGGAACUUCUUACAGUCCUCUGCUCUAACAACUGAGCUAUGAAGGUGCUUAUAAACACAAACGCAGAAAACAUAGUGGCUUCGGCGACACACUUUGCCAACAAUACAAUUGGACCCACAUGGUCAAUGAAAAAGGUUCAAGAGUGCUUACAGCAAUGAAAUGUGGUGUUUGGAGCUGGAGUUGAACCAGCGACCUUUGGACCACAGCGUUUCAGGAACGUCUGACAGUCCUCUGCUCUACCAAUUGAGCUAUGAAGGUGCUUAUACACACAAACGCAGAAAACAUAGUGGCUUCGGUGACACACUUUGCCAACAAUACAAUUGGACCCACAUGGUCAGUGAAAAAGGUUGAAGAGUGCAUACAGCAAUGAAAUGUGGUGUUUGGAGCUGGAGUUGAACCAGCGACCUUUGGACUACAGCGUUUCAGGAACUUCUUACAGUCCUCUGCUCUACCAACUGAGCUAUGAAGGUGCUUAUAUAUACAAACGCAGAAAACAUAGUGGCUUCGGCGACACACUUUGCCAACAAUACAAUUGGACCCACAUGGUCAAUGAAAAAGGUUGAACAGUGCAUACAGCAAUGAAAUGUGGUGUUUGGAGCUGGAGUUGAAACAGCGACCUUUGGACCUCAGGGUUUCAGGAACUUCUUAAAGUCCUCUGUUCUAGCAACUGAGCUAUGAAGGUGCUUAUAGACACAAACGCAGAAAACAUAGUGGCUUCGGCGACACACUUUGCCAACAUAACAAUCAAGCUACCUUGUCAAUGAAAAAGGUUGAACAGUGCAUACAGCAAUGAAAUCUGGUGUUUGGAAGUGGAGUUGAACCAGCGACCUUUUGACCACAGCGUUUCAGGAACUUCUUACAGUCAUCUGCUCUACCAACUGAGCUAUGAAGGUGCUUAUAUAUACAAAUGCAGAAAACAUAGUGGCUUCGGCGACACACUUUGCCAACAAUACAAUUGGACCCACAUGGUCAAUGAAAAAGGUUGAAGAGUGCAUACAGCAAUGAGAUCUAGUGUUAGGAGCUGGAGUUGAACCAGCGCCCUUUGGACCACAGCAUUUCAGAAACUUCUUACAGUCCUCUGCUCUACCAACUGAGCUAUGAAGGUGCUUAUAUAUACAAACGCAGAAAACAUAGUGGCUUCGGCGACACACUUUGCCAACAUAACAAUCAAGCUACCUUGUCAAUGAAAAAGGUUGAACAGUGCAUAAAGCAAUGAAAUCUGGUGUUUGGAGCUGGAGUUGAACCAGCGACCUUUGGACCACAGCGUUUCAGGAACUUCUUACAGUCAUCUGCUCUCCCAACUGCGCUAUGAAGGUGCUUAUAGACACAAACGCAGAAAACAUAGUGGCUUCGGCGACACACUUUGCCAACAAUACAAUUGGACCCACAUGGUUAAUGAAAAACGUUGAACAGUGCAUACAGCAAUGAAAUGUGGUGUUUGGAGCUGGAGUUGAACCAGCGACCUUUGGACCACAGCGUUUCAGGAACUUCUUACAGUCCUCUGCUCUACCAACUGAGCUAUGAAUGUGCUUAUAUAUACAAACGCAGAAAACAUAGUGGCUUCGGCGACACACUUUGCCAACAAUACAAUUGGACCCACAUGGUCAAUGAAAAAGGUUGAACAGUGCAUACACCAAUGAAAACUGGUGCUUUGAGCGGGAGUUGAAGCAGCGACCUUUGGACCACAGAGUUUCAUACUAGGAACUUCUUACAGUCCUCUGCUCUACCAACUGAGCUAUGAAGGUGCUUAUAGACACAAACGCAGAAAACAUAGUGGCUUCGGCGACACACUUUGCCAACAAUACAAUUGGACCCACAUGGUCAAUGAAAAAGGUUGAACAGUGCAUACAGCAAUGAAAUGUGGUGUUUGGAGCUGGAGUUGAACCAGCGACCUUUGGACCACAGCGUUUCAGGAACUUCUUACAGUCCUCUGCUCUACCAACUGAGCUAUGAAGGUGCUUAUAGACACAAACGCAGAAAACAUAGUGGCUUCGGCGACACACUUUGCCAACAUAACAAUCAAGCUACCUUGUCAAUGAAAAAGGUUGAACAGUGCAUACAGCAAUGAAAUCUGGUGUUUGGAGCUGGAGUUGAACCAGCGACCUUUGGACAACAUUGUUGAGGAACUUCUUACAGUCCUCUGCUCUAACAACUGAGCUAUGAAGGUGCUUAUAAACACAAACGCAGAAAACAUAGUGGAUUCGGCGACACACUUUGCCAACAAUACAAUUGGACCCACAUGGUCAAUGAAAAAGGUUGAACAGUGCAUACAGCAAUGAGAUCUAGUGUUAGGAGCUGGAGUUGAACCAGCGACCUUUGGACCACAGCGUUUCAGGAACUUCUUACAGUCCUCUGCUCUACCAACUGAGCUAUGAAGGUGCUUAUAGACACAAACGCAGAAAACAUAGUGGCUUCGGCGACACACUUUGCCAACAUAACAAUCAAGCUACCUUGUCAAUGAAAAAGGUUGAACAGUGCAUACACCAAUGAAAUCUGGUGUUUGGAGCUGGAGUUGAACCAGCGACCUUUGGACAACAUUGUUGAGGAACUUCUUACAGUCCUCUGCUCUAACAACUGAGCUAUGAAGGUGCUUAUAAACACAAACGCAGAAAACAUAGUGGCUUCGGCGACACACUUUGCCAACAAUACAAUUGGACCCACAUGGUCAAUGAAAAAGGUUCAAGAGUGCUUACAGCAAUGAAAUGUGGUGUUUGGAGCUGGAGUUGAACCAGCGACCUUUGGACCACAGCGUUUCAGGAACGUCUGACAGUCCUCUGCUCUACCAAUUGAGCUAUGAAGGUGCUUAUACACACAAACGCAGAAAACAUAGUGGCUUCGGUGACACACUUUGCCAACAAUACAAUUGGACCCACAUGGUCAGUGAAAAAGGUUGAAGAGUGCAUACAGCAAUGAAAUGUGGUGUUUGGAGCUGGAGUUGAACCAGCGACCUUUGGACUACAGCGUUUCAGGAACUUCUUACAGUCCUCUGCUCUACCAACUGAGCUAUGAAGGUGCUUAUAUAUACAAACGCAGAAAACAUAGUGGCUUCGGCGACACACUUUGCCAACAAUACAAUUGGACCCACAUGGUCAAUGAAAAAGGUUGAACAGUGCAUACAGCAAUGAAAUGUGGUGUUUGGAGCUGGAGUUGAAACAGCGACCUUUGGACCUCAGGGUUUCAGGAACUUCUUAAAGUCCUCUGUUCUAGCAACUGAGCUAUGAAGGUGCUUAUAGACACAAACGCAGAAAACAUAGUGGCUUCGGCGACACACUUUGCCAACAUAACAAUCAAGCUACCUUGUCAAUGAAAAAGGUUGAACAGUGCAUACAGCAAUGAAAUCUGGUGUUUGGAAGUGGAGUUGAACCAGCGACCUUUUGACCACAGCGUUUCAGGAACUUCUUACAGUCAUCUGCUCUACCAACUGAGCUAUGAAGGUGCUUAUAUAUACAAAUGCAGAAAACAUAGUGGCUUCGGCGACACACUUUGCCAACAAUACAAUUGGACCCACAUGGUCAAUGAAAAAGGUUGAAGAGUGCAUACAGCAAUGAGAUCUAGUGUUAGGAGCUGGAGUUGAACCAGCGCCCUUUGGACCACAGCAUUUCAGAAACUUCUUACAGUCCUCUGCUCUACCAACUGAGCUAUGAAGGUGCUUAUAUAUACAAACGCAGAAAACAUAGUGGCUUCGGCGACACACUUUGCCAACAUAACAAUCAAGCUACCUUGUCAAUGAAAAAGGUUGAACAGUGCAUAAAGCAAUGAAAUCUGGUGUUUGGAGCUGGAGUUGAACCAGCGACCUUUGGACCACAGCGUUUCAGGAACUUCUUACAGUCAUCUGCUCUCCCAACUGCGCUAUGAAGGUGCUUAUAGACACAAACGCAGAAAACAUAGUGGCUUCGGCGACACACUUUGCCAACAAUACAAUUGGACCCACAUGGUUAAUGAAAAACGUUGAACAGUGCAUACAGCAAUGAAAUGUGGUGUUUGGAGCUGGAGUUGAACCAGCGACCUUUGGACCACAGCGUUUCAGGAACUUCUUACAGUCCUCUGCUCUACCAACUGAGCUAUGAAUGUGCUUAUAUAUACAAACGCAGAAAACAUAGUGGCUUCGGCGACACACUUUGCCAACAAUACAAUUGGACCCACAUGGUCAAUGAAAAAGGUUGAACAGUGCAUACACCAAUGAAAACUGGUGCUUUGAGCGGGAGUUGAAGCAGCGACCUUUGGACCACAGAGUUUCAUACUAGGAACUUCUUACAGUCCUCUGCUCUACCAACUGAGCUAUGAAGGUGCUUAUAGACACAAACGCAGAAAACAUAGUGGCUUCGGCGACACACUUUGCCAACAAUACAAUUGGACCCACAUGGUCAAUGAAAAAGGUUGAACAGUGCAUACAGCAAUGAAAUGUGGUGUUUGGAGCUGGAGUUGAACCAGCGACCUUUGGACCACAGCGUUUCAGGAACUUCUUUACAGUCCUCUGCUCUACC